rnacentral:rRNA from 1 species
GACGAACGCUGGCGGCGUGCUUAACACAUGCAAGUCGAGCGGAAAGGCCCUUCGGGGUACUCGAGCGGCGAACGGGUGAGUAACACGUGGGUAACCUGCCCCAGACUUUGGGAUAACCCUCGGAAACGGGGGCUAAUACCGGAUACGACACAGCUUCGCAUGGGGUCUGUGUGGAAAGUUUUUCGGUUUGGGAUGGGCUCGUGGCCUAUCAGCUUGUUGGUGGGGUGAUGGCCUACCAAGGCGACGACGGGUAGCCGGCCUGAGAGGGCGACCGGCCACACUGGGACUGAGACACGGCCCAGACUCCUACGGGAGGCAGCAGUGGGGAAUAUUGCACAAUGGGCGGAAGCCUGAUGCAGCGACGCCGCGUGAGGGAUAACGGCCUUCGGGUUGUAAACCUCUUUCAGCAGGGACGAAGCGUAAGUGACGGUACCUGCAGAAGAAGCGCCGGCCAACUACGUG